ACAUUUGCCGUUUUGAGGAGCGAGAUGAGCCAUGUACAAAAGUUAAUCAAUUAAAAGUGCCAAUUACCUCACCAGCCCGCAAUCAUCGCGGCGUUAUAUGUGCUCUGAGAUCAGAUGAAUGGCCUGCGUUCUUCUGUAGGUGUCUACACUCCGACAAGAAUUGCUAAUAUCGACGUCUCGCCCAAAAGGUGUCUCUUGAUACCGAACCAUACGCGGACGCCUACUGUAUUUUUUUUUAAUUUUAUCUCAAGAUGAACAAUCCGCAGGAAUCCUUUUUAAUCAGUACCGCCAAAAGACCGUUCCGUGCGCCUGCGUGUGAUGCCGGAACAGAGCAACGACUACCGAGUAGUAGUGUUUGGAGCCGCCGGAGUUGGAAAAAGUUCCCUGGUUUUAAGAUUUGUGAAAGGAACAUUCAAAGAGAGCUACAUUCCCACCAUUGAGGAUACGUACCGACAAGUGAUCAGUUGUAAUAAACAGGUGUGUACAUUACAAAUCACGGACACGACCGGUAGUCACCAAUUUCCCGCCAUGCAGAGACUUUCAAUCUCCAAGGGUCACGCUUUCAUUCUCACGUAUUCCAUCACAAGUCGACAGUCUCUGGAAGAACUCAAACCUAUUUACAAUGAGAUUGUGCUCAUUAAGGGUGAUCUUCGAGACAUUCCCGUCAUGCUCGUGGGAAAUAAAUGUGACGAGGAAUGUCGUGACGUCACACAGAGAGAAGGCGCCGAGUUGGCGAAAAGUUGGAAUUGUGCCUUUCUUGAAACCUCGGCAAAAACAAAUUACAAUGUGAAAGAAUUAUUUCAGGAGUUACUCCAACUGGAGAAAAGAAGAACAAUGAGUCUCCAGCUUGAGACAAAGAAAACUAAAUCCCAGAAAAGAAAGGAGAAAUUAAAGGGAAAGUGUGUUGUGAUGUAGAAUCGACAUGUCGUGCGUUUUUUCUAUGCAGUCCAGCGUGUACAAUUUGUUGGUUUUCAGUUGCAUUUUAAAUCUUACUCCUUAUUGUUUAAAAACUCUCUCAGGAUAUUUAUGCUUACGUCAUUUAUUACGUUCGACGCAUGCGCCGUCCGGUUGUUUGUGUUUCACGUGACGUCGGAGCGUCCAAUCAUGAUCUGUUUUUUGCUGGAGUGUGUGGAACGUUAGUGCUUAUUGGGUGGAUACGAACUUGUACUUGUUUAUGUGUGUCCAAGAAUGACGUAAUUUUCUUUCUAGGGAUGAAUUAGUGUUUGUUAUCACAUGUUAGGCCUGUAAACAUGUUUUAUCUAAAGUUUUUGUUUCAUUUGAACAGAUAUUUUUGUCGUGUUAUAUUAACAACUGAUGCAAAUCAGCAUAUGAAUAGCGAUUUUUAGAUUUUGAAAUAUAAAUUAAUCACUG
rnacentral:misc_RNA from 1 species